GUGCCACGUUAUUGACCUGAUUUCUCUCAUAUAUGUAAGCAACCUUAUUUUUUAUGUGCCAUACAAAUAUUUACAUUGAAUUGACAGUAUAACUAAAAAGUAAUGCUCUCCUUCAGACAAAU
rnacentral:snoRNA from 1 species